AUUGAACGCUGGCGGCAGGCCUAACACAUGCAAGUCGAGCGGAUGACGGGAGCUUGCUCCUUGAUUCAGCGGCGGACGGGUGAGUAAUGCCUAGGAAUCUGCCUGGUAGUGGGGGACAACGUUUCGAAAGGAACGCUAAUACCGCAUACGUCCUACGGGAGAAAGCAGGGGACCUUCGGGCCUUGCGCUAUCAGAUGAGCCUAGGUCGGAUUAGCUAGUUGGUGGGGUAAUGGCUCACCAAGGCGACGAUCCGUAACUGGUCUGAGAGGAUGAUCAGUCACACUGGAACUGAGACACGGUCCAGACUCCUCCGGGAGGCAGCAGUGGGGAAUAUUGGACAAUGGGCGAAAGCCUGAUCCAGCCAUGCCGCGUGUGUGAAGAAGGUCUUCGGAUUGUAAAGCACUUUAAGUUGGGAGGAAGGGCAGUAAGUUAAUACCUUGCUGUUUUGACGUUACCGACAGAAUAAGCACCGGCUAACUCUGUGCCAGCAGCCGCAGUAAAAC
rnacentral:rRNA from 1 species